AACGUUGAAGACGACGACGUUGAUAGGCCGGGUGUGUAAGCGCAGCGAUGCGUUGAGCUAACCGGUACUAAUGAACCGUGAGGCUUAACCUUACAACACCGAAG
rnacentral:rRNA from 1 species